UACAGAGGAGCCAGGCGUUGUCCGGAUUGACUGGGCGUAAAGCGCACGCAGGCGGUUGCGCGCGUGGGGUGUGAAAUCUGGCCGCUUAACGGCCAGGCGCCAUCCCAUACGGCGCGACUGGAGUGAUGCAGAGGUCGAUGGAAUUGCCGGUGUAGUGGUGAAAUGCGUAGAGAUCGGCAGGAACACCCAGGGGGAAACCAGUCGACUGGGCAUCUACUGACGCUGAGGUGCGAGAGCGUGGGGAGCGAACCGG
rnacentral:rRNA from 1 species